UUGAAUUUCGCCUAGUCAAAAUGUCAGUUCAAGAUAUCUUCAAAUCCUUCUAAUUCAAGAUAUCUAUAUCUUCCUUUUUGGAUAUCCUUAAUUGAGUUUUGACUAGGCGAAAUUCAAUUGCAGAUAUCUGUAACUGGAGUUACGACUAGUCAAAAUGACGUUUUAGAUAUCUCAUACUGGAGUUAUGGAUAGGCGAAAUGUAAUUGUAGAUAUCCACUAUCCAAUUAUAGAUAUCUGGAAAUGAUUUUUGAUUAGAGAUAUCUCAAAUUGGAGAUAUCUGUAAUGUUCAUUCUGCCUAGUCGAAAUGUAAUUAAAGAUAUCUAGAAUAACAGUUUUGACUAGGCGAAAUGACGUUACAGAUAUCUGUAUGCAAAUGACCCAUGCACGCACCACCAACCCCCCUCCCCUUCCCCCACCCCUCACAUUUGGCGGGAGCACACAAACACACACACACACACCGCCAUUUUAGUGAUUAGUUGCACCUGUGAAAUGGACAACGAGCGUCAAGAAACCGUUUUCAAUCGUCUUUUCAACAUAGCUACUCGUGCAAGAGCAGAGUUGGCAAGCUCCAGUGCAGAUCAUGCCUAAAGUUACUUCAACGCGACGACCGACUGUUUCAUCGAGUACAGGUUAGGCGACGAGGACAUGAUGAGGACAAGCACUGUCAAGUCCUCUUCAGCUCCAAUGAUUAUAGCCAGUGCCCAAGGCUCCACGUCUCUAUGCACCAUUCAUCUCAACACUAACCAAAUGGUGGCUUUGUAACAGUGAUUGUGGGAGGAUGCUGUGCAGGUGUCAACAUGAAUGUGCCGGAGGACUAGAGUAUGCUGGCGUCGACACCCCACCUCCUCCCCUUCAGACUCCAUCGAGGGUUGGUCCCUGUCCUGUGAGGAGAGGAUGCAAUGGGUCUCUGCUUCAGCCGUGGCACCUUCUCUACAACCCUCGCCACUGUCACCAGUUUGUCCCCAUCCUGUGAAGGGGGGUAGGCUUUAGCCCCCUGCCUCAUCAAUCGGCAGGAUAAGCGCCCUCUUCUUUGAAACAGGACAUGUUUUAUUGAUGCUCUACAUGAGUAUUAUAUACAUGUAUAUAUACAGUGCCAUGUGUAUGUUUUUACCUCCCCUACUGAUUUUGUUUACUUUUUUGCACAUUUGGCACACUUAACAUUUUCAGAUAACCACACUAAUAUAAACAUUACCCAUGACCCAAGUAAGCAUAAAAUGCAGUUUCUCAGUGAUUAAUUUAUAUUUUCUCAGAAGCUUUGUAUGCAUUGUCAAUGUUUUUUUUUUUUUUUUUUUUGUAGCAAAUGUGAGACAAGUCUUGAUACUCUCCUUGUCAGAGGUGACUUUGGCCGUUGAACUCUGACAUGCUUGCAAUGUUUACCUAGUCUCUUUCUUAUUGUUGAGUCAUGAACACUUCCAUUUCAUGCGGUAAUUAACACCUCCCAUUGGUAAGAUAUUGUUCUGUGUUCCUUUCUAAACUCUUGGAUCCACAGUCACUGUCUUCUUGGGGUAAUUUUAGUGUGACAGCCAAAAUGUUCACCAUUACAUCAUGUAUUCUCCAUUUAUGGAUAAUGGCUCUCACCAUGGUUUGCAGAUGACCCAAUGAUUUAGAAAUAACUGAAGAACCUUUUACAGUCUGAGACAUGUAAAUUAUUUUUAUUACAACCUGCUCCCGAAUGUCGAUGAUUCACAGUGUGAUGUCAUGGGUUCGAUAUGAAUUAUCUCUUGGUUUGAAAGGCCAGGUAGUAGUCAGACUUGGGCAGCUGUGAAAUAUAACUCUGCUAUCCAAAAUGAUUUAGAUUAAUCACAGAUACCUUCUCAUUUAACAAUUUACUUUUUCACACAGGCUCAUGCAGGUUUUAUGGCAUUUUUCUAACAAAUGAAAUAACCACUGGAACACUGCAUUUCACGUUUGCUUGGGUCAUUCUUGUUUAAUGUUUACUGUGUUCAGUGAUCUAUACACAACAAAAUUGCAUUUUAUGUCUCACCCGUGCAAGGGGGCAGCCCCCAAUGGCGGCCCAAGGGAGCAGUGCGUCGGGAUGGUACCAUGCUCAGGGUACCUCAGUCACAGAGGAGGAUGGGGGAGAGCACUGUUAAUUAGCCCCCCACAAACCUGGCAGGUUGGGAGUCAUACCGGCAGCCUUUGGGCUACAAGUCUGACGCCCUCACCGCUUACCCAUGACUGCCCAUAAAUAUAUUGACUGCAAGCUUAACUUUGCAGAUAAUGUUGAUGCUGUAUGCGAAAAGGCCAAUCAAAAGUUGUUCUUAACCGAGAAGCUGAACGGCUUUGGAGUAAACUGCAACAUCUUGGAGAGGACAUAUGUAAGCCUAAUAGAGAGUGGCCUUACCUAUAACAGUUCUGUUUGGUAUGGCCACCUCACCUUACUUAAGAACAGGCUGUCCAGAGUGGUAGGAAAGGAAAUAUUAUAUGAGGAACUCACAAGCCACUGGGCAGUCUAUACAGGAUACAGUUGACAGGAAAAGACUGAGCAUUUUAGAUGAUUCUACCCAUCCUCUUCCCUCUAAAUUUGAACUGCUGCCAUCAGGUAGGCACAUCAUUGCAAGGAGAAAGAUCUAUAAACAUUAUUUUAUACCAUGGUAAACAAGCAAUGGGAAAGCUAGAGGUGUAGGGUCUGGAACUACUGACUGAUUUGUAUUUGUGUGCUGGGAGGGGGUUGGAUGCAGCGAUUUGUUCGCCUGUUUUUGUCUAUUUGUGUUUGUAUUCAGUGAGACCAAAGGCAAUGUUCAUGCUGGUAUGACAAAGUAUUUUCUAUUCCAUAAUAAAACGUUGUUAUGCCA